GACGAACGCUGGCGGCGUGCUUAACACAUGCAAGUCGAACGGAAAGGCCCUGCUUUUGUGGGGUGCUCGAGUGGCGAACGGGUGAGUAACACGUGAGUAACCUGCCCUUGACUUUGGGAUAACUUCAGGAAACUGGGGCUAAUACCGGAUAGGAGCUCCUGCUGCAUGGUGGGGGUUGGAAAGUUUCGGCGGUUGGGGAUGGACUCGCGGCUUAUCAGCUUGUUGGUGGGGUAGUGGCUUACCAAGGCUUUGACGGGUAGCCGGCCUGAGAGGGUGACCGGCCACAUUGGGACUGAGAUACGGCCCAGACUCCUACGGGAGGCAGCAGUGGGGAAUAUUGCACAAUGGGCGGAAGCCUGAUGCAGCAACGCCGCGUGCGGGAUGACGGCCUUCGGGUUGUAAACCGCUUUCGCCUGUGACGAAGCGUGAGUGGCGGUAAUGGGUAAAGAAGCACCGGCCAACUACGUG
rnacentral:rRNA from 1 species